GUCCACGGAUUAGGGGUCGAGGGGCAGUUUAAAGGGUCUGGAGGAGAACGAGGUUUGAGGGUCGCAGAGAAGGGGUCCGAGAAGAGCCUGGCAGCCUGGCGAGCGGGUCUCCAGAUUAGAAAUGUUGUCUGAAGCUAUGGAACUUCAGAGAGAGGCUUAAAAUUUGGAUGCAUGCCAUUUUUCUAAAAGGCUCUCUGUUGCCUUACUGAUUUUCUGUCUAGAGGAUCUGUCCUUUGAUGUAAGUGGGGUGUUAACGUCUCUUACUAUGAUUGUAUUCCCAUCAGUUUAUCCUUUUAUGUCUUUUAGUAUUUGUUGUAGGUAUCUGGGUGCUCCUAUAUUAGGGGCAUAUAUAUUGAUGAUUGAAUAUCCUCUUCUUGAAUGGAUCCUUUAAUCACUAAAUCGUGUCCUUCUUUGUCUUCCUUUAUGGCUUUCAUUUUAAAGUCUAUUUUGAGUCUGAUAUGAGUACUGCAACUCCUGCUUUGAUCUCUUGUUCUUUGACUUGAAAUAUCUUUUCUCAUUCCCCUCACUUUCAAUCUAUAUGUGUCCUUUGCCCUAAGGUCAGUCUCUUGUAGACAGCAGAUUAUAGGUUUUUGCUUUUUUAUCCAAUCUUCCCUUCUGUGUCUUUUGAUUGGAGUAUUCAGUCCACUGACAUUUAAGGUGAUUUUUGAUAGAUAUGUAUUUAUUGCCAUUUUAAACCUUUUUUUCCAGUUGAUUAUAUGUUUCUCUUCCUUUCUUUUUUUUUUGAUUGGAUGGUUUCCAUUUAUUUUAUGCUUGGAUACUUUUCUUUUCAGUUUUUGUGAAUGUGAUGUUUGGUUUUGAUUUGUGGUUGCCCUGAUUUUUAAGUAUGUUAACCCUGCCGAUAUCUGCUUGCUUUAGCCUGAUGGGCAUAUAGGUUCAAACACAUCAUUAAAAUAAAAAAAAAAUCUAUAUUUUCCUAUUUUUCUUCCCCACAUUGUAUGAUUUUUAUGUCUUUUUUUUUUCUUUUAACAUCUUCAUGUUUAGAUCAGUAUGCUGGCUUAUUUAAGUGAUUGCUUUCCAAUUGUGGUUUCCUCCAUUCUAUUUCUUCUUUCUUCUUUUUUUAUUUUUUAUUUAGAGAAGCCCUUUCAGUAUUUCUUUUAGAAUGGGUUUGGUAUUGCUAUACUCUUUUAACUUUUGUUUGUUGGAGAAAUUCUUGUUCCUGAUCUUAAUGGAAAUGUUUACAGUUUUUCACCAUUGAGAAUGAUGUUAGCUGUGGGUUUUUCAUAUAUGGUUUUUAUUAUGUUGAGGUAGGUUCCCUCUGUUCCCACUCUCUAGAGAUUUUUUUUUUAUCUGAAACAGGAAGCAAACAGGUGUUGAAUUUUGUCAAAAACUAGAACAGAAUAUUUUAAAAUUUGUAUGGAAACACAAGAGACCUUGAAUAGCUAAAGCAAUAUUGAAAAAAAAAUGAAAAUGGAGGACUCAAGCUUCAUGACUUCAGACAAUACUACAAAGCUGCAGUUAUGAAAACAAUAUGGUACUGGCACAAAAGCAGAAAUAUCGAUCCAUGCAACAGGAUAGAAAGCACAGAAAUAAACUCAAGCAUGUAUGGUCAACUAACCUGUGACAAAGGAGGAAAGACCCUACAGUGGAAAAAGAUAAUCUCUUCAAUAAAUGGUGUGAGAAAACUGGACAUCUACAGAUAAAAGAAUGAAAUUAGAACACUAUCUAAUACCAUACACAAAAAUAAACUCAGAAUGAAUUAAAGACCUAAAUGUAAGGCCAUAUACUGCACAAUGCUCUUUGACAUAAAUCACAGCAACAUCUCGUUUGAUCCAUCUCCUAGAAUAAUGACAGUAAAAACACACAUAAGUCAGUGGCACCUAAUUAAACUCAAAAGCUUCUGCACAGCAAAGGAAACCAUGGUCAAGGAGAACAGACUUGUGGUUCCCAGGGGGAGGAAGUGGAAUGAAUGGGCAGUUUGGGGUUUUUGGAUGCAAACUGUUACAUUUGAUUGGAUGAGCAGUGGGGUCCUACUGUACAACACAGGGAACUGUGUGUGAUUGGGUCACUUUGCUGUACAACAAAAAUUGAGGAAACACUGUAAAUCAACUACAAUUAAGAAAAAACACUAUGGUUUGGAAAUUCCUGCCUGUGUUGUAUGGAGCCACAUAUUUGAUCCAUGGCCUGGGAAUUUCCACAUUGUGUGGGUAGGGCUAGAAAACAACAACAACACAAACCCAUUAUGGAUUCAAAGAAUGGUACUCUUCUCCAUCCCUUGGUUCUGUUUCUAUUGGUGUGUUGGCUUCCUACAAUAAACAGGGUUUCUCUAUUUGGCAUAGCCCCAGAGAAUUUCAAAAUUAUGUCAUUCUAGUUUAGUGACUCAUGACUGAGAAAAGAGAUAGCACCCAUAUAUACACUUUCUCAGAAUGAUUCUGAUUGGUUUGGGUUAUGUCACCUGCUAAUUUUCAGAUCAAUUAUAUGGUCAAGGUGAUAGGACACUUUAUCAGACGAGGCUUUCAACAUGUAUUACUAUGGUUGGGAAUCGUCUUAGUAAUUUUGGGCUACUGUAACAAAAGUAUCAUAGACUGGGUGGCCUAUAAACAACAGAAAUUUACUUUUCACACUUCUGGAGCCUGAAAAUCUAAGAUUAGGGUGCCAGUAAGGACAGGUUCUGGUGAGGGCCCUCUUCUGGGUUACAGAUUACCAACUUUUCUGUGUACACAUGGUAGAGAGCAGAGAGUAAAAGCAUGCUCUAUGGUGACUCUCAUAAAAACAUUAAUCCCUUUCAUUGAGGCUUCACCCUCAUGGUCUCAUUUAAUCCUAACUACAUCUCAAAGUCCCCACCUUUUAAUACUAUCACAUUGAGGGAUAGGGUUUCAACAUUUGAAUUUUGGCAGGAUACAAACAUUCGGUUCAUAAAAGGGUUUAGUGGAAUGUCAUGGCUGGAAAUAUGAAGUCACAGAAUAAUGUAAAAUUGAGUCAGCCAUAUUGAGAUUCAACAUAUAAAAGUGUUAGUUGAUAACUUCUCACUAAUGAUAUUAAACAUUAUGUUGAACUUUGUAGAGAUUCUCAAAGUAUUGAAAAUGAACUUUCCAAAUGCAUGUUUAAAUAACUCUGCUAUUUUUUGGUAUGUGACGGGGAGACUCUGAGCUAAAAUCAUUCUGCUUCCUUUAGCAAGAGAUGACUUUUGGAAGUCUUCCUUCUGAAACAUUUAAAAACAUUGCUGUUACAAGUGGAUUAACUAUGACAUUUGGAAAUGUCAGAGGCAGUUUUGGCUAUGGCAAUACUGGCCAAAGCAUCUCACCUAUACAAAAUAUAAUUUUGAGGGCCUGGGUGCUCAUGACACUGCUGGACAUAUCUUUGUCUGCCCUGUUUUAGCUAAUAGAUUUUAGCGCUGAAGCAAUCCACUCCUUACAAAUAAUUAUCAUUAGAAAAUGUCACUGCAUAAAUUGUAGGAUAGAAGAGGCAGAGAGAUCUGAUUAGUGGUUGAUUUGGAAGAGAAGAACUCAUCCUUAUAGACCAAAGUUCCAGGAAUCAAGAACUCAUAUCUUGUUUUUCACUUUUGUUGAACUACCCUUGUUAGAGGGGUUGUUGAAAAAUGGAGUGGUUGAUAGAAUUUUCCCAAAUUCCAAAGAUACUCAAUAGGAAGAAAAAUACUUGUAACAUUUGCUUUAAAACAAUUAUAGUGGGGAGUUCCCAUCAUGGCUCUGCAGUAACAAACCCAGCUAGUAUCCAUGAGGACAAGGGUUUGAUCCCUGGCCUUGCUCAGUGGGUUAAGUAUCCAGGUUGUCAUGAGCUGUGGUAUAGGUCGCAGAUGUGGCUUGGAUCCCGCAUUGCUAUGGCUGCGGCAUAGGCUGGCAACUGCAGCUCCAACUUGACCCCUAGCCUGGGAACUUCCAUAUGCCACAGGUAUGGCCCUAAAAAGCAAAAAACACAACAAAACAAAACCAAAAGCAAAGUUACAACCUCCCCCCAACAAAAAAGCAAUAAUAGCUGGUAUGAUUUGUUUUAUGUAAUUGAUGCAUUCCAGAGCAAAGAUGUUUAUUGAAUUAGCUAGUAACUAAUACUUAUUGACUACUUUUAAAGAUCAGACUCUGUGCUAAGUCCUUUAUAAAGCUGGUAUUAUUAAAUCCUCAUAGAAUGGUGAUAUAUUCUCAUUGUGCAAAUGUGGAACUCUGAGGCAAGUUUGUAAGUUUUUCAAACUGACUCCACUAAAGUGGAAAUGAGAUUCAUGUUCAGAUCUAUUUGACUCUGUUAUGUAUUAGGCAAGUUUGCUAAAUUUUAUAUAUGCCUACAUUGGAUUCUUUUGUAAAGAAGUCACAUCAUUAUUUUUGCACUCAAAUAAAAUUGGUUUGAUACUCAAUAAAAUUGCAUUGAAACCAAUUGUUGACAUAGAUCACACCCGUAAAUUUUGUCAAUAUAUGUGUUUAUGUAGAUCAGAAUACAUCUACUACAAGGGAGCUAACUGUUCUCUACCUAUAUGAAAAGUCAUUUUCUUUUUUCAACAACAAAUAAGAAUAAUUUCAAAGAAAAUGGAUGGAAAGAAGAUAUUUUCAUUUUAGCUGGUCAUUGUGUACUAUUGUAAAUAAAUUAACAGUAUCAGUUAAGUAGAUUAGUGCUAUAAUGAAGCAAGUGAUGAAUGAGGAAUUGUGAGUUCUCUCUCUAGGUCUGUUUUAGUUUUACACUCAAAAGAUAUUUAUCAUCUCUGGAUAUUUGUUUCUUCAUUUAUAGGAAUAAGGAGGUUGUUCUCUAAUAUUUUUGAGAUACCGUUUCUAUUCUGAAUGUGUAUCGUCUUAUAUAUUAUCACCUCAUGCUUUUUUUUUAACCUGAACUGUGGUUCCUGUUGGCUUUUUGAAUUAUUUUUAUACUUAGUUAAUUUUGAAUUGUUACGUAAGUAUCCAGAUGGAAGAUGUAUAGAGUGAAGGAAGAUGCCUAAAGCAUUAGUAUAUUUUGCUUAUUAAUAUCCCCCUUAUGUCUUUUUGUGUAAGAAUGAUGCCAUUAACCCUCCAAUGUAGGGCAUAUACUUUGACAUAUUUUAGGGACUGGUUUAAACUGAGUACUUAUUGGGCCCUAGUGAGUUUCUUUUACAUGGAAUUCAGUGACCAUGGACUAGAAUGAAAGUACCUUACUGCUUUGCAGGGAUUUAUUGUAGAAGGACUUCUUGGGUGGGAACAAACUCAAUAUCCAUUCUUCUCUUCUUCUACAUUGAUGGAUCUCUAAUUGUAUUUGAAGCUGCAGAGAAUCCAGUUAAAACUCAACAUUUCUCAGGCUGUUUGCAGCUAGAAGUGGCCAUAUGAUUGAAUUUUAGCUAAUGAAAUAUAUUUAUAAAUGUUAUAUGAGAUUUCUCAGAAGUCUUAACAGGAAGGUGCAUACUUUUCUUUCCUCUCACCGUCCUGCCUGCUACCUAUAAUGUGACUGGAGCUUGAGUUAUCACCUUGAAUAAAAAUAGCCAGCUAAGAGUAUUAUAGGAGCAAUAGAAAACCAAACCAAACUCAAACCAAACCUGGAUCCUUGUGUUAGUUAUCUAUAUGUUUAAUUUAUGUGAAAUAGAAGCAAACCUCUGUAUUUUUAAGCCAUUUUGGGUUUUUUGCCAAAUGUGCCUGAAUCUAAAUCUUAACCAUUA
rnacentral:lncRNA from 1 species